rnacentral:sRNA from 1 species
AAAUAGGCGUAAACAAAUCCCGACAAAA